rnacentral:lncRNA from 1 species
AUGUGGAUGCUCUGAGGAAAGUUGAAGUAAAGCUUCAGAUUAAUUUUUACCAUCCGGUGUUCUCAAACAUGCACACGAAGCUCAGUAUGCAUGCAUUCAAAUUCAAAAUCAACACUAGAAUGUGGCUGCCACUGCUGGGAAUCUAACCCACAACCUAUGCUUGGGAGCAGAACCCCACUGACGCUUAGCCACAACAACUUGCCUGUUUUUUUCAGAAUAGAUGAAAAGUAUGAGUUGUCACUGACAA